AAAUUUUUAUUUUGUACCUAUUGAUUUCUGCUUAAUAUCAAGUGUAAGAACAUUUCAAUUAAAUGUGUUCAACGUACUUCCCCUUCAAAUCUCAACCCAGUGAAUUUGUAUACCAACAUCAACAUUUUCGUCUUUGUUAGUAAAUAAUUUCAUUGUACCAAGGGGUUAUAGUAGUAGAAAGUCAAAUAAGGAGAUCACCAUAUUUUUUUACAAAUACCAUCUGUGUGAAAAAGCAUAGUGGACUCCGUGACUGAUGUUCUCUUAUUGUUCCUCUUAAUGUAAUAUAACAAAAACUUUAGCCACAGCAACGCGUGGCCGGGUCAGAUAGUGUGUAUAUAAAACAUAUUCAACAUUGUAAGAGAAUACUGGACGCCAAGUAGACCAUCGCUGCUCAAUCAAUUUUAUAAUAUUUACUUAACACAAACAUAGAAAUAAAGCACACCUUCAGCAUUGAACACAACAAGGCGUUCUUAUUUCUACAAGACGGUAGCCCACCCAGUGUGGAUACUGUCUUAUGUUCAACUUAGACGAAUAAUAAAUGUUUAAUAUACCAUAUUAUUAUAUAUAGAUACGUUUGGAUUUAAAAAUUAUAUUAUCGCAAUGACAUUUGAGGAUCGUCAAACAUUUUUAAAUCAUGCAAAAGCCAAACUUCAACAAUCUAAAACAACAACAAGUACUCAUAUUGCAGAGUCUACUAGUGAAAUAAAAGACGGAACAGAUGUUCCAGAUUAUAUAUGGAAAUACUACGAUAAAAUAAUACAAG